AGAGGGGUCCAGGCAGAAGGACCACCCCUUCCCUUUCCACCAAAUCAUUAGCCUAGGAUGCCGCCGUGGUGCCACCUGAGACUCCGGGGACUGACCUGAUUGUGUGGGAGGAGGACCGGAGCGCUGGGGUCAGAAGGCAUCUGCCUCCAGGAGAAACUGGCAACGGCGACGAUUCCUCCCACCCGACCCCUCCCAGUGGAGGGGGUCCGCGGCAAAGACAACAACCCCUACUCAACCUCCGCCGCAGGUGAGAAAAAUGAAAAAUGAAUUUGAAAAGAUAGGUCUUGGGGCUUCCCUGGUGGCGCAGCGGUUAAGAAUCUGCCUGCCAAUGCAGGGGACAUGGGUUCGAGCCCUGGUCCGUGAAGAUCCCACAUGCCAUGGAGCAACUAAGCCUGUGCACCACAACUACUGAGCCUGCACUCGAGAGCCCAUGAGCCAAAACUACUGAAGGCCGCACGCCUAGAGCCAGUGCUCUGCAACAAAGAGAAGCCACCACGAGAAGCCUACGCACCACUACGCAGAGUAACCCCUGCUCGCCACAACUGGAGAAAGCCUGCGUGCAGCAACGAAGACCCAAUGCAGCCAAAAUUAAAUAAAUCAAUAAAUAAAAUUUAAAAAAAA